rnacentral:lncRNA from 1 species
GGUACCUCUUCUGCACUUGUAUGCCAUGUGGCAUACCUCAGGCCCUGGAUAUGUCGGGCCCCGGACAUGUCGGGCCCCAGAUAUGUCGGGCACCCGAUAUGUCCGGCCCCAGAUAUAUCGGGCCCCGGACAUGUCGGGCACCAGGACAUAUCCGGGCCCCGACAUAUCCGGCCCCGGACAUGUCGGGCCCCGGAUAUGUCGGGCCCCGGAUAUGUCGGGCACCCGAUAUGUCGGGCCCCAGAUAUAUCGGGCCCCGGACAUGUCCGGGCCCCGAUAUCUCCGGCCCCGAACAUGUCGGGCACCCGAUAUGUCGGGCCCCCGGACAUAUCCGGCCCCGGACAUGUCGGGCACCCGAUAUGUCCGGCCCCGGACAUGUCCGGGCCCCGAUAUGUCCGGCCCCGGACAUGUCCGGGCCCCGAACAUGUCGGGCACCCGAUAUGUCGGGCCCCCGGACAUGUCUGGCCCCGGACAUAUCGGGCACCCAGACAUGUCCGGGCCCCGAUAUAUCUGGCCCCGGACAUGUCGGGCACCCGAUAUGUCUGGCCCCGGACAUAUCGGGCACCCAGACAUGUCCGGGCCCCGAUAUAUCCGGCCCCGGACAUGUCGGGCACCCGAUAUAUCCGGCCCCAGAUAUAUCGGGCCCCGGACAUGUCGGGCACCCGAUAUGUCGGGCCCCGUACAUGUCGGGCACCCGAUAUGCCGGGCCCCAGAUGUGUCUGGCCCUGGAUAUAUCCGAGUUUUAUUUUGACACGUGGCAUGGCCUUUGGUUUGAUCUCAUAGAGUUUUAUGGUUUUCAAUGUGUGCCACAUUGACACAUGGCAUGCACUUUGGUUUGUGCUCAGAGUUUUAUGGUUUUCAAUGUGUGCCACAUUGACACGUGGCAUGUGCUUUGGUGAGUUUUAUGGUUUUCAAUGUGUGUCACAUUGACACGUGGCAUGCCCUUUGGCUUGUUCUCAUAGUUAGAGUUUAGCGUCCUUGUAUGCCAUGUGAAAUACAUAUGUUUGGACUUGCUUGCCAUGCCACGUGGUGACAGUCACAACACAUUCUUUGUGACUUAUAUCCUAGUUAAUAACUAACUAAUGACACAAUUUGGCAAACACACCUUACAUUGACAAUUGUAAGUAGUAUUUAAGGACCAUACACUUAUAUGCUAUGGAAAAAUACUCAAAGUUUAUAUAUUAAAACAGUGAUCUUACAAAAAUAAAUGACUUGUAAGGAAAAAAACAAAAAGAGGGGGUCACUUGGACUUCCCGGGUGGUCACCCAGCCCAGUACUAUUCAAGCCCAGGGACGCUUAACUUUGGAGGUCUGAUGGGAUCCAGUGCCAUAGUCACGGUUUGAACCCACUCUGAAAUAUUUCACACUCCCCCUACUCUUAUAGUGUGGGGCAGCUUGAUCCAAAGCUGCAGCGUACCUCCACAAUCCCGUGUUCUUUCUGGGCGCCAAAAAGCACGCCCGCGGGACAUGUGGUACCUCCCCAACAAUUCACGAAGACCACGUUUUGGGGCCCAAAACGCGCGCUGCAAAAUGUGGGGUACCUCCCCGACUUUUCGUGAAAAAUCGCGUGUUUUGGGCCCCAAAAAAAGCCCGCGGAACACGUGGUACCCUUGCAACUUCUCGCGAAAAAUCGCGCGUUUUGGGCCCCAAAACGCGCCCCGCGAAAUGUGGGGUACCUCCCCGACUUUUCGUGAAAAAUCACGCGUUUCGGGCCCCAAAAAAAGCCCGCGGAACACGUGGUACCUUCCCAACUUUUCGCGAAAAAUCGCGCGUUUUGGGCCCCAGACAUUCCGGGCCACUUUUUUUUCCCCUCCCCCCCUUUUCCGUGCCACGUGGCAGGCGGGCAGGGCCUUCCCCCCCUCCCUCACGCACGCGCAGGCUGAGGCUCAGCCUGCGCCUUCUCCGUGCGCUUCGGGCCCGGGAGAGUCCUCCCCCCUUCCUCCCUCCGUCGCACGGCAGGUGGGGGCCCCUCCCCUUUCCCGCCGCGUGACGCUGGCCCUUGCCAAGCAGCCGUGCCGCCCCCGAGGCUCGCCUCCCUUGGAAGCCCGGAGGACCACACUGCUGCCUCCCUCCCCCUCGCCCGACAGGCGUGCGGAUGUGGUCCCAAGGCCAUGCCCAUGGACCGCACAGCACGACUCUGCCAAACGCUGGAGUGGGUGCCAGGGAAGCCACGCCGAGGCUCUCCGCAGCCGAGAACCCUUGCACAACCCCACCCCCCAUCAAUACUGGGGAGGCCCCCCCCACGCCACCGGCCAAAGGCCACGAGCACUCACACAUGCGACACUGCCCAGGCAUUCCACGUCGGGAGUUCCGCUCUGGAUCGCCGAUCGGGUAACACCUGGACGGAUGCUGCACGUGCUUGCCACCAGAGCAGCUGAGCACCAUUUCCUUCGGCCGGUGGGCACGGGAAGCCCACAAGGUGAGGCACACAAGGGGAGCCAUCGAAGCGCCACGACGUGACCCUGGCAAGCGAGCCAACUCUCGUUUGUAUGGGAAGCAGAGCU